GGCGGCUGUGAACAAGGCGUCGAGUCAUUGUCAGUGACCUCGUCAAUAGACUUAUUUGCCGAAUUGGUGGCCUAUUUUUUAUCUCUGCUUUUGCAUAACAUGGACUUCUGAUAUUAAAGGGUAGUGGAAAUAGCCCUCCAUCAUCUCCCUGACCUCUCCAUGGGUUCCACUGAUGUCAGAAAGCUGUGGAGCCAAGUGUCAGCUCGAUGGAGAACACAGCGAUGAUGAUGAUGAUGAGGAGGAGGAGCUGUGACAGCACGGUCUCUUCCCUCCUCCAUUCUGAAUCCUCCCCAGUUGUCUUUGACGUUCCACUCUGGACGUGCUGACUGUCCAUCAUGGUCGCCAGUUUCUGCUCCAGCUUCCACAUUUGCUCCCGGUACUUCCUGCGAAUGUGUCGCCCAACAGAAGAUCUUCUUUGACCAAAAUAUCCCCGUCGGCCUGGAGGGAUUCUGCUUUGGUAGAUAGAUGUAUGAUUUCCCAUGUGGGACGCCCAGAUUUGAAUCGGUCGGCCAGCUCAUCUCGGAGGCUUUCUGGAAUACACGCUCCAGAUGCUUCUUGGCUCUUUUGGGCCACUAGACUCCAUUCCAGAUGCCAUUGAUGUAUAAGUUGAACAGUUUGGGUUCCAAGAUUGACCCCUGGGGGACUCCGCAAGUAAUAUUUAAGCUUGCAGAUGCUUGAUGUUAUCUUUACUCGAGUGUCCACUUCGCAGCCCAGCAGGGGAACCAACAUCUGGGUUCACUUCCACUCCUGCAUGGAGCUUUGGGAGGAAAAUGGCCGCCCUGUUCCUUUUCAGGCGCUCAAUUAUGUCAUGGAGCUCAAGCUCUCGUUCACUGAAGUCAGGAGUCCUGGGGGUUAGAAAUAACGGGAUGAAAAAUAAUGAUCUUCUAUGUUCCUGUGUGUCCUUCAAAACAUCACCUCUGUGCCGUGUGUGUUUCCAUCUCCUUGGUGACCUCUGUUGUUGUGAAGGAGGUCGACAAUUCCUCACUUGCCAGUUUCCUGUGCUGAACUGACGCACCGCCAGGUUCCUCCUGCGUGUCAUCAAUUUCCUCUGAGGUCAAGAAAAAAACAACAGUUGGAGCUGGUGAAACGACAAGCACUCGCACCAUGCGUACGCACUAAAAGGUGGUAUUCAAACACCUGCUGCGUUGGUCUGUGGAGGAAUGCUUUGUUGCCUCUGAGCCUCGUAAAGCGACAGGAGCUCACCGUACGCGUCUUCGCACUCCUCACUGGGAGUCCAUGAACACAGCGCAAUGUCGUACGGUUCAAGUAUGCUGAUAACCGACUUUUAACAAGCCUGUUUUGUGUUGGCCUACCAGUAUCUGAGAGCCAAGUGCAUGGUAGAGCAGUCGGACUCCAACCUCUUCAGUGUAACGCUGAUGUGCUCCAACUCUGCCCUCUUUCGCUCCAAAGCGGCAGUGAGACGUUCAUUCCUGGCCUUCAGCUUUUCAAUGUACCUGGGAAAGCCUUGGCCCAGCUGUCCUGAGCUGCUCUCAGAUGCUCUUCUGGUCUGUCCCGGUCAGAUGAUGUAAUGGGGGCUGCCCAGGACCUUCUGCAAUUGAUGGAGUCCUCCACUGCUGUCAGAACCCCCUUGAGUUCUGUCCAGAUGACGCCACUGCCCCCUACAGGAAGAUAUUUGUAACUGACAUUUCUUUUCUGGCCUUUUUUGAAAAAAUAAAAUAAAAAAAUGGUGUCACAAACCUCGACUUGGUAGUGGAGGAUUCGAUGUGACAUAAGAGGAAGUGCUCCU